rfam:Schistosoma margrebowiei strain Zambia genome assembly, scaffold: SMRZ_contig0001697
AUCCAGCUGACGAGUUUUAAACAGGACAAAACGCGUGUCCUGAAU